rnacentral:misc_RNA from 1 species
AACGCAUCUUGCACUAUUCGGCUUCCCCGGAUAGUAUGCCUGGUUGAGUGUCUGUGUAUCUCUCCUAAUCCAGUGUUUUUGUGAUGCUGGAAUAGGGACUUGGGGUCUCUUUUCUCGUCGGGAAUCAACUCUCAUUGAUACUCGGUGAACCCUUUAAAUAUAGUAAGCUCCCAUCUUUUUUGGAAAUACGCAAACUUGGGGAUGAUGGCGUCGUAGCAAUCUUUUGUAUUGUCGAAACGCCUAUCAAACAAACAACUCCUCUAAUCUGCGGUGCUAAUCCAUUCGAGAGUGGGCGAAGCUUGACGACUGGCAAAGUGCCAUGCUCUACUUAUACUAUUGGAGUACACGAACAACAAUGACCUCAACUCAGGUAGGACGACCCGCUGGACUUAA